AUACAGAGGGUGCAAGCGUUAAUCGGAUUUACUGGGCGUAAAGCGCGCGUAGGUGGCUAAUUAAGUCAAAUGUGAAAUCCCCGAGCUUAACUUGGGAAUUGCAUUCGAUACUGGUUAGCUAGAGUAUGGGAGAGGAUGGUAGAAUUCCAGGUGUAGCGGUGAAAUGCGUAGAGAUCUGGAGGAAUACCGAUGGCGAAGGCAGCCAGCUGGCCUAAUACUGACACUGAGGUGCGAAAGCAUGGGGAGCAAACAGGAUUAGAUACCCUGGUAGUCCAUGCCGUAAACGAUGUCUACUAGCCGUUGGGGCCCUUGAGGCUUUAGUGGCGCAGCUAACGCGAUAAGUAGACCGCCUGGGGAGUACGGUCGCAAGACUAAAACUCAAAUGAAUUGACGGGG
rnacentral:rRNA from 1 species